UCCCCUGUGGUCGAGUGGCCAAGACUCCGCACUCCCAAUGCAGGUGGCCCAGGUUCCAUCCCUGGUAUAGGAA
rnacentral:tRNA from 1 species